AUUGAACGCUGGCGGCAGGCCUAACACAUGAAAGUCGAGCGAGCGGCGGACGGGUGAGGAAUGUAUGGGGACUGCCCGAUAGAGGGGGCUAACUACUGGACACGGUAGCUACUACCGCAUACUAUCGGAUAACCCAUAUGGGAUUAGCUAGUAGGUGAGGUAAUGGAUAACCUAGGAGAGGAUCCCUAGCUGGUCUGAGAGGAUGAUGAGCCACACGUGGACUGAGACACGGCCCAGACUCCUACGGAGGCAGCAGUUGGGAAUAUUGCACAAGUGGCGCAAGCCUGAUGCAGCCAUGCCGCGUGUAGGAAGAAGGCCCUAGGGUUGUAAAGUACUUUCAGUCGGGAGGCGUUACCGACAGAAGAAGCACCGGCUAACUCCGUGCCAGCAGCCGCGGUAAUUC
rnacentral:rRNA from 1 species